rnacentral:rRNA from 1 species
AACGAACGCUGGCGGCAGGCCUAACACAUGCAAGUCGAGCGCCCCGCAAGGGGCGCGGCGGACGGGUGAGUAACGCGUGGGAAUAUGCCCUUUGCUACGGAAUAGUCUCGGGAAACUGGGGGUAAUACCGUAUACGCCCUUUGGGGGAAAGAUUUAUCGGCGAAGGAUUAGCCCGCGUUGGAUUAGGUAGUUGGUGGGGUAAUGGCCUACCAAGCCGACGAUCCAUAGCUGGUUUGAGAGGAUGAUCAGCCACACUGGGACUGAGACACGGCCCAGACUCCUACGGGAGGAGGAGGGGGGGAACUUUGGACAUGGGGGCAACCCUGAUCUAGCCAUGCCGCGUGAGUGAUGAAGGCCUUAGGGUUGUAAAGCUCUUUCAGCUGGGAAGAUAAUGACGGUACCAGCAGAAGAAGCCCCGGCUAACUCCGUG